rnacentral:tRNA from 1 species
GCCUGGGUGGCUCAGUCGGUUGAGCGUCCGACUUUGGCUCAGGUCAUGAUCUCACAGUUUGUGGGUUCGAGCCCCGCAUCGGGCU